rnacentral:rRNA from 1 species
AACCCCUUGGGGGUGUAAAGCUCUUUCGACGGGAACGAUAAUGACGGUACCCGGAGAAGAAGCUGCGGCUAACUACGUGCCAGCAGCCGCGGCAUACGUAGGCAGCAAGCGUUGUUCGGAAUUACUGGGCGUAAAGAGUGCGUAGGCGGUGCUCUAAGUUUGGUGUGAAAUCUCCCGGCCUAACUGGGAGGGUGCGCCGAAAACUGGAGUGCUUGAGUAUGGGAGAGGAAAGCGGAAUUCCUGGUGUAGCGGUGAAAUGCGUAGAUAUCAGGAGGAACACCUGCGGUGUAGACGGCUUUCUGGACCAUGACUGACGCUGAGGCACGAAAGCGUGGGUAGCAAACAGGAUUAGAUACCCUGGUAGUCCACGCCCUAAACGAUGCAUACUUGGUGUGGGCAGUUCAUUCUGUCCGUGCCGGAGCUAACGCGUUAAGUAUGCCGCCUGGGGAGUACGGUCGCAAGGCUGAAACUCAAAGGAAUUGAGGGGGGCCCGCACAACCGC